rnacentral:rRNA from 1 species
GAUGAACGCUGGCGGCGUGCUUAACACAUGCAAGUCGAACGGAAAGGCCCUGCGUUUGUGUGGUUCUUGAUUGGCGAAGGGGGGAGUAACACGUGAGUAACCUGCCCUUGACUUUGGGAUAACUUCUGGAAACUGGGGCGAAUACCCGAUAUGAUCUCCUGCUGCAUGGGGUGGGUUGGUAAGUUUCGGCCGUGGGGGAUGGACUCGCUGCUUAUCAGCUUGUUGGUGGGGUAGUGGCUUACCAAGGCUUUGACGGGUAGCCGGCCUGAGAGGGUGACCGGCCACAUUGGGACUGAGAUACGGCCCAGACUCCUACGGGAGGCAGCAGUGGGGAAUAUUGCACAAUGGGCGGAAGCCUGAUGCAGCAACGCCGCGUGCGGGAUGACGGCCUUCGGGUUGUAAACCGCUUUCGCCUGUGACGAAGCGUGAGUGACGGUAAUGGGUAAAGAAGCACCGGCUAACUACGUG